CCUACGGGAGGCAGCAGUGGGGAAUUGUUCACAAUGGGCGCAAGCCUGAUGACGCAACGCCGCGUGGGGGAUGAAGGUCUUCGGAUCGUAAACCCCUGUCGAAUGGGACGAAAGACUCGCGAGUUAAUACUUUGCGAGAGUGACGGUACCGUUAAAGGAAGCCACGGCUAACUCUGUGCCAGCAGCCGCGGUAAUACAGAGGUGGCAAGCGUUGUUCGGAAUUACUGGGCGUAAAGGGCGCGUAGGCGGCCUUCUAAGUCAGACGUGAAAUCCCCCGGCUUAACCUGGGAACUGCGUCUGAUACUGGGAGGCUUGAGUAUGGGAGAGGGAUGUAGAAUUCCAGGUGUAGCGGUGAAAUGCGUAGAUAUCUGGAGGAAUACCGGUGGCGAAGGCGGCAUCCUGGACCAUAACUGACGCUGAGGCGCGAAAGCUAGGGGAGCAAACGGGAUUAGAUACCCCCGGUAGUCCUAGCCCUAAACGAUGAAUACUUGGUGUGGGCGGGUAGUCGACUCCUCGCCGUCGCCGAGCUACGCAUUAAGUAUUCCGUCCGUCGGGGUAGGUACGGUCGCGACGGCGUGAACGUUAAAGUAGAGUUAGACGGCGUGAGACGUGCCGACGGACGACGACGAGGGAGGUUAGG
rnacentral:rRNA from 1 species